rnacentral:rRNA from 1 species
AAAUCGGAGCGGACUCCCCACCGAAACUUAACGGGCCCAAACCAUAGAGGGCAUUGAAUAGAAGACCUCACACUAGAAAACUAUCCAAAACCCCACCGUUAAUCCCACACUGGCGUGCCCUCAGGGAAAGGUUAAAAGGAAAAGAAGGAACUCGGCAAACACCCACAAGCCUCGCCUGUUUACCAAAAACAUCGCCUCUUGUAAACCCCACAUAAGAGGUCCUGCCUGCCCAGUGACCCCUGGUUCAACGGCCGCGGUAUUUUAACCGCGCAAAGGUAGCGCAAUCACUUGUUCCUUAAAUGAGAACCAGUAUGAAUGGCUAGACGAGGGCUUAACUGUCUCCUUUUCCCAACCAAUGAAAUUGAUCUUCCCGUGCAGAAGCGGGAAUACUAACAUAAGACGAGAAGACCCUGCGGAGCUUUAGACGCCAGAACAGAUCACGUCAAAUACCUCUCUCAAACAGGUAACAACAAAUGAAUCCCUGUUCCCACGUCUUAGGUUGGGGCGACCACGGUGAACAGAAAAACCCCCGCGUGGACUGAGAGCAUAUUGCUUCUACAACCAUGAGCUACAGCUCUAAAUAACAGAACUUCUGACCAAAAGAUCCGGCAACGCCGAUUAACGGACCAAGUUACCCCAGGGAUAACAGCGCAAUCCUCUUUAAGAGUCCAUAUCGACAAGGGGGUUUACGACCUCGAUGUUGGAUCAAGACAUCCUAAUGGUGCAACCGCUAUUAAGGGUUCGUUUGUUCAACGAUUAAAGUCCUACGUGAUCUGAGUUCAGACCGG